UGGGACCUUUGGACUGGCCCUCCUGCUAGAAA
rnacentral:piRNA from 1 species